UCGGGGUGCACCAGGCGCGAAAACUUUACAAUGCGGGAAACCGUGAUAAGGGGACACCGAGUGCCAGCAUCAUAUGCUGGCUGUCCGGGUGUGUAAAAUACACCCGUUAGCAAGGGCCGGGCAAGACCGGUGCCAGCCGCCGCGGUAACACCGGCGGCCCGAGUGGUGAUCGUGAUUAUUGGGUCUAAAGGGUCCGUAGCCGGUUUGGUCAGUCCUCCGGGAAAUCUGACGGCUCAACCGUUAGGCUUUCGGGGGAUACUGCCAGGCUUGGAACCGGGAGAGGUAAGAGGUACUACAGGGGUAGGAGUGAAGUCUUGUAAUCCCUGUGAGACCACCUGUGGCGAAGGCGUCUUACCAGAACGGGUUCGACGGUGAGGGACGAAAGCUGGGGGCACGAACCGGAUUAGAUACCCGGGUAGUCCCAGCCGUAAACGAUGCUCGCUAGGUGUCAGGCAUGGCGCGACCGUGUCUGGUGCCGCAGGGAAGCCGUGAAGCGAGCCACCUGGGAAGUACGGCCGCAAGGCUGAAACUUAAAGGAAUUGGCGGGGGAGCAC
rnacentral:rRNA from 1 species